AUUGAACGCUGGCGGCAUGCUUUACACAUGCAAGUCGAACGGUAACAGGCCUUCGGGUGCUGACGAGUGGCGAACGGGUGAGUAAUGCAUCGGAACGUACCCAGAGGUGGGGGAUAACGCAGCGAAAGCUGUGCUAAUACCGCAUGUGAUCUGAGGAUGAAAGCGGGGGACCGAGCAGCAAUGUUUGGCCUCGCGCCUUUGGAGCGGCCGAUGUCGGAUUAGCUAGUUGGUGGGGUAAAGGCCUACCAAGGCGACGAUCCGUAGCUGGUCUGAGAGGACGACCAGCCACAGUGGGACUGGGCCGCGGCCCAGCCUCCUACGGGAGGCAGAGGGGGGGAUUUUGGGACAAUGGGCGCAAGCUGGACCCAGCAGGGCGGCGGGGGGGAAGAGGGCCUGCGGUUGGUAACCCUUUUUGGGGGGAAAGGAAGCGGUGCCCCCUAAUCCGGGGCGCUAAUGAGGGUCCCUGAAAAAUAAGCACCGGCUAACUCCGUG
rnacentral:rRNA from 1 species